rnacentral:rRNA from 1 species
CCUACGGAGGGCUGCAGUGGGGAAUAUUGGACAAUGGGGGGAACCCUGAUCCAGCCAUGCCGCGUGUGUGAAGAAGGCCCUCGGGUUGUAAAGCACUUUCAGUGAGGAAGAACGCCUGGUGGUUAAUACCCAUCAGGAAAGACAUCACUCACAGAAGAAGCACCGGCUAACUCCGUGCCAGCAGCCGCGGUAAUACGGAGGGUGCGAGCGUUAAUCGGAAUUACUGGGCGUAAAGCGCGCGUAGGUGGCUUGAUAAGCCGGUUGUGAAAGCCCCGGGCUCAACCUGGGAACGGCAUCCGGAACUGUCAAGCUAGAGUGCAGGAGAGGAAGGUAGAAUUCCCGGUGUAGCGGUGAAAUGCGUAGAGAUCGGGAGGAAUACCAGUGGCGAAGGCGGCCUUCUGGACUGACACUGACACUGAGGUGCGAAAGCGUGGGUAGCAAACAGGAUUAGAUACCCUUGUAGUC